AUCACAACUGUCAACGGCACAAUUCAGUAAGUAAUUUGUCAGCUUUAAAAGCCAUCCGAGCAUUUUGUCAAAAAAGUAUGGAUUACAUUUUUUUUAUUGAUAUGUAAUUUUAAAUAACGCAUAGUACACCUAAAAUUGUUUAGUUGAUU